rnacentral:rRNA from 1 species
AUUGAACGCUGGCGGCAUGCCUUACACAUGCAAGUCGAACGGCAGCACGGGUGCUUGCCCCUGGUGGCGAGUGGCGAACGGGUGAGUAAUACAUCGGAACAUGUCCUGUAGUGGGGGAUAGCCCGGCGAAAGCCGGAUUAAUACCGCAUACGAUCCACGGAUGAAAGCGGGGGACCUUCGGGCCUCGCGCUAUAGGGUUGGCCGAUGGCUGAUUAGCUAGUUGGUGGGGUAAAGGCCUACCAAGGCGACGAUCAGUAGCUGGUCUGAGAGGACGACCAGCCACACUGGAACUGAGACACGGCCCAGACUCCUACGGGAGGCAGCAGUGGGGAAUUUUGGACAAUGGGCGAAAGCCUGAUCCAGCAAUGCCGCGUGUGUGAAGAAGGACUUCGGGUUGUAAAGCACUUUUGUCCGGAAAGAAAUCCUUGACUCUAAUACAGUCGGGGGAUGACGGUACCGGAAGAAUAAGCACCGGCUAACUACGUG